rfam:Calypte anna contig10625, whole genome shotgun sequence.
AAGCACUCUGUUUGAAGCUGAUGUGUCUUGUGUGUAGCUUCAUGGGCCAAGCAGCAGUGCUGGAAUGUAAGGAUUUGUUAUAACUGGGGCUCUUCAGCUCUGAGCUGAACUGCUCUUUUAAAAACAAGGUAAAUUU